rnacentral:rRNA from 1 species
UACGUAGGGUGCGAGCGUUAAUCGGAAUUACUGGGCGUAAAGCGUGCGCAGGCGGCUUCGCAAGUCAGGCGUGAAAUCCCCGGGCUUAACCUGGGAACUGCGUCUGAUACUGGACGGCUCGAGUUUGGGAGAGGGAUGUGGAAUUCCAGGUGUAGCGGUGAAAUGCGUAGAUAUCUGGAGGAACACCGGUGGCGAAGGCGGCAUCCUGGACCAACACUGACGCUGAGGCGCGAAAGCUAGGGGAGCAAACGGG